rnacentral:rRNA from 1 species
GUGCCAGCAGCCGCGGUAAUACGUAGGGCGCAAGCGUUAUCCGGAUUUAUUGGGCGUAAAGGGCUCGUAGGCGGCUCGUCGCGUCCGGUGUGAAAGUCCAUCGCUUAACGGUGGAUCUGCGCCGGGUACGGGCGGGCUGGAGUGCGGUAGGGGAGACUGGAAUUCCCGGUGUAACGGUGGAAUGUGUAGAUAUCGGGAAGAACACCGAUGGCGAAGGCAGGUCUCUGGGCCGUCACUGACGCUGAGGAGCGAAAGCGUGGGGAC